rnacentral:misc_RNA from 1 species
GAUGAAGAACGCAGCAAAAUGCGAUACUUGGUGUGAAUUGCAGAAUCCCGUGAACCAUCGAGUUUUUGAACGCAAGUUGCGCCCGAAGCCUUUUGGCCGAGGGCACGUCUGCCUGGGCGUCACGCAUCGCGUCGCCCCCCACAAUUCUCCGUAAAGGGAACGUGUGUUUUGGGGGCGGAUAUUGGUCUCCCGUGCUCAUGGCGUGGUUGGCCGAAAUAGGAGUCCUUUCGAUGGACGCACGAACUAGUGGUGGUCGUAAAAACCCUCGUCUUUUGUUUCGUGCUGUUGCUCGCAAGGUAAACUCUUUAAAAACCCCAAUGUGUCGUCUCUUGACGACGCUUCGACCGCGACACCAGGUCAGGCGGGACUACCCGCUGAGUUUAAGCAUAUCAAUAAGCGGAGGA